rnacentral:rRNA from 1 species
GGAAGCCCAGCACCGAACCUCGCACCCCCGGGUGUCGCGGAAUGUGGUGYUCAGAGAGGACCGUGCGCGUCUGUCCGGUAUCGUCCAAGUCUCCAUGAAUGGGGCCAGCAACCCAGAGAGGGUGUCAGGCCCGUGGGACGAGCCGCGACCGUGUAUUGGGUCUCUCCUUAGAGUCGGGUUGCUUGAGAGUGCAGCCCUAAGCGGGAGGUAAACUCCUUCUAAGGCUAAAUACGGCCACGAGACCGAUAGCGAACAAGUACCGCGAGGGAAAGUUGAAAAGAACUUUGAAGAGAGAGUUCAAUAGUGCGUGAAACCGUUCAGGGGGUUAAACGGGUGGGCCCUCGAAGGUCGAACGCCCCCUACUCCUGUUCCUGUAGCGCUGGCACGUGCUGCUUUUCGAUCUCGCUACGAGACGGAGCUUGGUGCGGUAUGCCGGACUGCAGGGGCCGCUAGUUAGGGGGCCAGUAGGACUCCGCAACCGGCUGGGUUUUAAGUCGUCAGAAGGGUUCUGGAGGAAGCCUCCUCUGGGGGUGAAAUCCGGGAUUCCGGGCGAUCUUCCCGGCCGUGAACCAGAAUUCCCCCGUCUGGCGUCUGGGACGAGUUCUGGCAACAGGACUGUCGGUUCUGGGCGUCACCGUGGNGGACACCGCGGAGAGUAGAGUCGGGUCCCACCCGACCCGUCU